rnacentral:rRNA from 1 species
ACUCCUACGGGAGGCAGCAGUGGGGAAUAUUGCACAAUGGGCGCAAGCCUGAUGCAGCCAUGCCGCGUGUAUGAAGAAGGCCUUCGGGUUGUAAAGUACUUUCAGCAGUGAGGAAGGCGGGUACGUUAAUAGCGUGCUCGUUUGACGUUAGCUGCAGAAGAAGCACCGGCUAACUCCGUGCCAGCAGCCGCGGUAAUACGGAGGGUGCGAGCGUUAAUCGGAAUUACUGGGCGUAAAGAGCUCGUAGGCGGUUUGUCGCGUCUGUCGUGAAAGUCCGGGGCUCAACUCCGGAUCUGCGGUGGGUACGGGCAGACUAGAUGAUGUAGGGGAGACUGGAAUUCCUGGUGUAGCGGUGGAAUGCGCAGAUAUCAGGAGGAACACCGAUGGCGAAGGCAGGUCUCUGGGCAUUAACUGACGCUGAGGAGCG